rnacentral:rRNA from 1 species
UACGAAGGGGGCUAGCGUUGCUCGGAAUUACUGGGCGUAAAGGGCUCGUAGGCGGCCAACUAAGUCAGACGUGAAAUCCCUCGGCUUAACCGGGGAACUGCGUCUGAUACUGGUUGGCUUGAAUCCGGGAGAGGGGGUGUGGAAUUCCAGGUGUAGCGGUGAAAUGCGUAGAUAUCGAGAGGAACACCUGCGGCGAAGGCGGGUUGCUGGGCUGACACUGACGCUGAUGCGCGAAAGCCAGGGGAGCGAACGGG